rnacentral:lncRNA from 1 species
GAAAUUUGGAUACUACAGUGCCUGAACCUUAACUCAAACACAUAGAAGGGAAUAAGGGUAUAGGGAAUUCACACAACAACAGAUGCAAGAAGAUCAACAUAUUAAUUAGUGAACAUGAAUAGUAAAGUAGACAAGAAUGUUGAAACUGUAAAGCAAACACAUAGGGAUGUGGCUGAAAAGCUAAAUUAGAACAUACCAGUUUCAGGGGAAAAAAGAGAGAAGAGCGGUAGUAAAGCCAAACUGCAAACACACAGCCGGAAUAUUUCAGAAGAGAUUAGAGUGUAGAAUUGAGAGUGCACGAGUAUUAAAUUGAAAGAGUUCAAUAAUUGUUGUGUCUUGAAAGUGCAGAAGGGUCGUACCCUUUGUAGUGCAGAAAGCAAGUAGAAAUAGGUAAGAAAAUAAUUCAGAAAAAUAAUUACACAAGUUCCCCAUAAAUUAAGGGAUUCUGAUUCCAAACGGCUAAAAGAAAAUUUAAGGAAAGAGUUUAAUCAAAAAAUUUUCC